rnacentral:rRNA from 1 species
GACGAACGCUGGCGGCGUGCUUAACACAUGCAAGUCGAACGGAAAGGCCCUGCUUUUGUGGGGUGCUCGAGUGGCGAACGGGUGAGUAACACGUGAGUAACCUGCCCUUGACUUUGGGAUAACUUCAGGAAACUGGGGCUAAUACCGGAUAGGAGCUACUGCUGCAUGGUGGGGGUUGGAAAGUUUCGGCGGUUGGGGAUGGACUCGCGGCUUAUCAGCUGGUUGGUGGGGUAGUGGCUUACCAAGGCUUUGACGGGUAGCCGGCCUGAGAGGGUGACCGGCCACAUUGCGACUGAGAUACGGCCCAGACUCCUACGGGAGGCAGCAGUGGGGAAUAUUGCACAAUGGGCGGAAGCCUGAUGCAGCAACGCCGCGUGCGGGAUGACGGCCUUCGGGUUGUAAACCGCUUUCGCCUGUGACGAAGCGUGAGUGACGGUAAUGGGUAAAGAAGCACCGGCUAACUACGUG